UACGAAGGGAGCGAGCGUUGUUCGGAAUCACUGGGCUUAAAGCGUGCGUAGGCGGAUUGGUAAGUAAGAAGUGAAAUCCCAGGGCUUAACCCUGGAACUGCUUUUUAGACUGCCUGUCUGGAAUUCGGUAGAGGUUGGUGGAACUCCUAGUGUAGAGGUGAAAUUCGCAGAUAUUAGGAAGAACACCGGUGGCGAAGGCGAGUUUCUGGACAGUUACUGACGCUGAGGCACGAAGGCCAGGGGAGCAAACGGG
rnacentral:rRNA from 1 species